GAUGAACGCUGGCGGCGUGCUUAACACAUGCAAGUCGAACGGAAAGGCUCCUGCUUGCAGGGGUACUCGAGUGGCGAACGGGUGAGUAACACGUGGGUGAUCUGCCCUGCACUUCGGGAUAAGCCUGGGAAACUGGGUCUAAUACCGGAUAGGACGAUGGUUUGGAUGCCAUUGUGGAAAGUUUUUCGGUGUGGGAUGAGCUCGCGGCCUAUCAGCCUGUUGGUGGGGUAAUGGCCUACCAAGGCGUCGACGGGUAGCCGGCCUGAGAGGGUGUACGGCCACAUUGGGACUGAGAUACGGCCCAGACUCCUACGGGAGGCAGCAGUGGGGAAAAUUGCACAAUGGGCGCAAGCCUGAUGCAGCGACGCCGCGUGGGGGAUGGCGGCCUUCGGGUUGUAAACGUCUUUCGCUAGGGACGAAGCGCAAGUGACGGUACCUGGAGAAGAAGCACCGGCUAACUACGUG
rnacentral:rRNA from 1 species